rnacentral:rRNA from 1 species
AUUCCAGCUCCAAUAGCGUAUAUUAAAGUUGCUGCAGUUAAAAAGCUCGUAGUUGGAUUUGUGGCGCGGUCGUCCGGCUCGGAUCCUUCAUUGGGCCCGCAUGUCUGGUUUUUCGGCCGCCCCAUUCUCGGGUAGUGUGUCGCUGGCAUUAGGUUGUCGGCUUCUUCACGCCCGUCGUUUACUGUGAAAAAAUUAGAGUGUUCAAAGCAGGCUUAGGCCGUUGGAUACAUUAGCAUGGAAUAAUGAGAUAGGGCCACGACGGUCUAUUUUGUUGGUUUGCACGUUGUGGUAAUGAUUAACAGGAACGGUUGGGGGUAUUCGUAUUCAAUUGUCAGAGGUGAAAUUCUUGGAUUUAUGGAAGACGAACUACUGCGAAAGCAUUUACCAAGGAUGUUUUCAUCA